GUAAAAGGUCAAGAGACAAAGAUGGUCCCAUACAGAAUAGGCUUCAAUAACAGGGGAUCUCUCAAAAAAUGAUUAAGCUUUAGUAGAAUGUUAAAGGUAAGUCCCAAGCUAUGCAUACAAAGAUAAGAUCCCAUCUACCCAGAGUAUAUCUGAUGAAGCUCUAAUGGUAAUCCCAUCUCCAAUCUUAAUAUAAGAACUUAAUUCUACCCUUUGCAUUCAUGAAUCUUUUAAGCCCUUUUUCUAAUCAUUCUUUUCUUUUCUCUUAACUUUAGGAGAAGGUUUCUCAACACUUUGAUACAUCUAGCGGAUUUGGAUUUCUUUAACAACUAAGGUUCCUGUUUUUAACAUUUUAAAACC
rnacentral:sRNA from 1 species